rnacentral:rRNA from 1 species
UACGGAAGGGGCAAGCGUUGUUCGGAAUCAUUGGGCGUAAAGGGCGCGUAGGUGGCUCUGUAUGUCUACCGUGAAAGCAUACAGCUCAACUGUAUUUUGUCGGUAGAAACUGCAGGACUUGAGGCUGGGAGGGGCUGGUGGAAUUCCCUGUGUAGCGGUGAAAUGCGUAGAGAUGGGGGAGAAUACUCGUGGCGAAGGCGGCCAGCUAGACCAGUUCUGACACUGAGGCGCGACAGCGUGGGGAGCAAACAGG